rnacentral:rRNA from 1 species
AUUAUUAAAAUUAGUUUAUUAGUAGAUAUUGCAUAUCAUUUUAAGAAAAUUUUAUAGAUAAUAAAAAAUAAAAAUAAAAGGUAGAAAAUCUUGUAUUUUUAUUGUUUCAUAAUAAAAAAUAAGGGUUUUAGUGUUGAAAAGUCGACUUUUAUUAUAUUUGUUUGUUUUAUAGAUAUUAGAAAAUUAUAUUUAGUUUAAGAAAGUGGUAAGUUUAAAAUUUGAAGUGUUUUAUAUUCUGGUUUUAUAACUGGUUAUAUAAUAUUGUUUUGGUUUAAUUAAAAUUUAUUAAUGCUGUAAUAAAUAAAUUAUUUAAAAAUUAGUAAAUGUUUUAANAAGGUAAUUAAUUAUAAUAUAACAAAAAAAUUCAGUAUUUAAUCAAAUGUUUUUUAAAGACUUAGACUUUUUAUUAAAGUUUGCUUCUGCCCAGUGAAAUAUUAAAUGGCAGUCUUAGCGUGAGGACAUUAAGGUAGCAAAAUAAUUUGUGCUUUUAUUAAGUUCCAGUAUGAAUGAAGUUAUUGGUUAAUGAUUUUUUUGUUUUGUAUUUGAAUUUAUUUUUAUAUAAAAAAAUAUAACUAUAAUUAUACAAAGAUAAGUCUUCGGAAAUUCUUUUUAAAUAUAAUAUUUUUUUAUUAUAUUUAAAAUUUUCUAGGGCAGAAUAAUAUAUAUUUUAAAUUUCUAUUAAUAAUUUAAGGAAUUACUCCGGAGUUAACAGAAAAUCAUACUAGAUCUAGUUCUUAUAGUAUAGUAAGUUUUACAUCGAUGUUGUAUUUGGAUAAUUUAAGAUAGGAGAAAACUUAAUUUUUAAGACUGUUCUUCUUUUAAUUAAUUCAACGUGAUAUUAGUUUAAUUCA